rnacentral:rRNA from 1 species
UACCCAAUCCCGAUUCGGGGAGGUAGUGACAAUAAGUAACAAUACAGGGCCAACGGUCUUGUUAUUGGAAUGAGAACAAUUUAAAUAACUUAACGAGGAUCAAUUAGAGGGCAAGUCUGGUGCCAGCAGCCGCGGUAAUUCCAGCUCUAAUAGCGUAUAUUAAAGUUGUUGCAGUUAAAAAGCUCGUAGUCGGAUGUCGGGCUCGGGCAGGCUGUCGGCUUCGGUCGGACGGCAGGCUCGGGUCUUUCUGCCUGAGGAUCCCGUCACUUGAUUGUGGCGGGGGACGCAGGCCGUUUACUUUGAAAAAAUUAGAGUGUUCAAAGCAGGCCUACGCUUGAAUACAUUAGCAUGGAAUAAUGGAAUAGGACUUUGGUGCUAUUUUGUUGGUUUAUGGGACCGAAGUAAUGAUUAACAGGGACAGUUGGGGCCGUUUAUAUUUCGUUGUCAGAGGUGAAAUUCUUGGAUUUACGAAAGAUAAACUUCUGCGAAAGCAUUCGGCAAGGAUGUUUUCAUUGAUCAAGAACGAAAGUUAGGGGAUCGAAGACGAUCAGAUACCGUCGUAGUCUUAACCAUAAACUAUGCCGACUAGGGAUCAGUGGAUGUCAAUUUGCGACUCCAUUGGCACCUUGUGAGAAAUCAAAGUUUUUGGGUUCCGGGGGGAGUAUGGUCGCAAGGCUGAAACUUAAAGGAAUUGACGGAAGGGCACCACCAGGAGUGGAGCCUGCGGCUUAAUUUGACUCAACACGGGGAAACUUACCAGGUCCAGACAUAGUAAGGAUUGACAGAUUGAAAGCUCUUUCUUGAUUCUAUG